rnacentral:tRNA from 11 species
GUUAGCUCAGUUGGUAGAGCAUCUGACUUUUAAUCAGAGGGUCACAGGUUCGAGCCCUGUAC